rnacentral:rRNA from 1 species
GAUGAACGCUGGCGGCGUGCCUAAUACAUGCAAGUCGAGCGAACAGACGAGGAGCUUGCUCCUCUGACGUUAGCGGCGGACGGGUGAGUAACACGUGGAUAACCUACCUAUAAGACUGGGAUAACUUCGUGAAACCGGAGCUAAUACCGGAUAAUAUAUUGAACCGCAUGGUUCAAUAGUUAAAGACGGUUUUGCUUUCACUUAUAGAUGGAUCCGCUCCGCAUUAGCUAGUUGGUAAGGUAACGGCUUACCAAGGCGACGAUGCGUAGCCGACCUGAGAGGGUGAUCGGCCACACUGGAACUGAGACACGGUCCAGACUCCUACGGGAGGCAGCAGUAGGGAAUCUUCCGCAAUGGGCGAAAGCCUGACGGAGCAACGCCGCGUGAGUGAUGAAGGUCUUCGGAUCGUAAAACUCUGUUAUUAGGGAAGAACAAAUGUGUAAGUAACUAUGCACGUAUUGACGGUACCUAAUCAGAAAGCCACGGCUAACUACGUG